CGGCAGGCUUAAUACAUGCAAGUCGAGCGGUCUCUUUCGGGAGACAGCGGCGGACGGGUUAGUAACGCGUGGGAACGUGCCCUUUAGUACGGAAUAGCCAUUGGAAACGAUGAUUAAUACCGUAUACGCCCUAUGGGGGAAAGAUUUAUCGCUAAAGGAUCGGCCCGCGUUAGAUUAGGUUGUUGGUGGGGUAAUGGCCUACCAAGCCUACGAUCUAUAGCUGGUUUGAGAGGAUGAUCAGCAACACUGGGACUGAGACACGGCCCAGACUUCUACGGAAGGCAGCAGUAGGGAAUCUUGGACAAUGGGCGAAAGCCUGAUCCAGCAAUGCCGCGUGUGUGAUGAAGGCCCUAGGGUUGUAAAGCACUUUCAACGGUGACGAUGAUGACGGUAACCGUAGAAGAAGC
rnacentral:rRNA from 1 species